rnacentral:rRNA from 1 species
UACGGAGGAUCCAAGCGUUAUCCGGAAUCAUUGAGUUUAAAGGGUCCGUAGGCGGUUUUGUAAGUCAGUGGUGAAAGCCCAUCGCUCAACGGUGGAACGGCCAUUGAUACUGCAAGACUUGAAUUACUAGGAAGUAACUAGAAUAUGUAGUGUAGCGGUGAAAUGCUUAGAUAUUACAUGGAAUACCAAUUGCGAAGGCAGGUUACUACUAGUGGAUUGACGCUGAUGGACGAAAGCGUGGGGAGCAAACAGG